GUCUACAGCCAUGCCACUCUGAACAUGCCCGAUUUCAUUUGAUCUCAGAAGCUAAGUAGGGUCAGGCCUGGUUAAUACUUGGAUGGGAGACCACCUAGAAAUACCAGGUGCUGUAGGUG
rnacentral:rRNA from 1 species